AUAAGAUAUCUGCCACAUGUGUAAUUCC
rnacentral:sRNA from 1 species